GUAGUCUCGCACAGAUGCAUAUCAAUAAGCGGAGGAAAAGAAACUAACAAGGAUUCCCCUAGUAACGGCGAGUGAAGCGGGAAGAGCUCAAAUUUGAAAUCUUAAAGGGUUUCCCUUUACGAAUUGUAGUUUAAAGAAGUGUUUUCUGUUGAGGUUUUGGUAAAAGUUCUUUGGAAUAGGACAUCAUAGAGGGUGAGAAUCCCGUAUUUGACCUUUACUUUCAACUUUGUGAUACACUUUCAAAGAGUCGGAUUGUUUGGGAAUGCAGUCCAAAAUGGGUGGUAAAUUUCAUCUAAAGCUAAAUAUUGGCGAGAGACCGAUAGCGAACAAGUACCGUGAGGGAAAGAUGAAAAGAACUUUGAAAAGAGAGUUAAACAGUACGUGAAAUUGUCAAAAGGGAAGCGUUUGACACCAGUGUUGUUUUCUGAAAAUCAAUUAAAGAACUGUUUAUGCUAAGUUGUUUAGACUUUAUCAGCUAUCUGUUUAGUUUUGAGCUUUUCUUUAAUGCACUUUUCAGUUAACAAGUCGACAUCAAUUUCUUUUGCUGUAAAAAAGCUUGAGGAAGGUGGCUUGAGAUUCGUCUUAAGUGUUUAUAGCCUCUUGCCUAUGCAGUCGGAGAGAUUGAGGUCUGCAGCGUAGGAUCCUUCGGGGCUAAAUGCAUUUGUGCUAAGUUAUAGCAUUUUAUAGACAACUUGUUGACUAUGAUUUGUCUUGUAGCUUACUCGCUUAUGUUAUUUUACCUACGCUUAGGAUGUUGAUCUGUAGUGCGUGCGC
rnacentral:rRNA from 1 species